rnacentral:rRNA from 1 species
UGGGGAAUAUUGCACAAUGGGCGAAAGCCUGAUGCAGCGACGCCGCGUGAGGGAUGACGGCCUUCGGGUUAUAAACCUCUUUCAGUAGGGACGAAGCGCAAGUGACGGUACCUGCAGAAGAAGCACCGGCUAACUACGUGCCAGCAGCCGCGGUAAUACGUAGGGUGCGAGCGUUGUCCGGAAUUACUGGGCGUAAAGAGCUCGUAGGCGGUUUGUCACGUCGUCUGUGAAAUCCUAGGGCUUAACCCUGGACGUGCAGGCGAUACGGGCUGACUUGAGUACUACAGGGGAGACUGGAAUUUCUGGUGUAGCGGUGGAAUGCACAGAUAUCAGGAAGAACACCGAUGGCGAAGGCAGGUCUCUGGGUAGUAACUGACGCUGAGGAGCGAAAGCAUGGGUAGCGAACAGG